ACGAAGGGGGCUAGCGUUGUUCGGAAUUACUGGGCGUAAAGCGCACGUAGGCGGGUAUUUAAGUUAGGGGUGAAAUCCCAGAGCUCAACUCUGGAACUGCCUCUAAUACUGGGUACCUAGAGUAUGGAAGAGGUGAGUGGAAUUCCGAGUGUAGAGGUGAAAUUCGUAGAUAUUCGGAGGAACACCAGUGGCGAAGGCGGCCAGCUGGGCCAGGUCCGACACUGAGGCGCGAAAGCGUGGGGAGCAAACAGGA
rnacentral:rRNA from 1 species